rnacentral:tRNA from 1 species
GGAAGUGUGCCUGAAACCAUAAGGGCUACUUUGAUAAAGUACACAUGGAACCACAACAUUCCCACUUCCC